UACGAAGGGGGCUAGCGUUGUUCGGAUUUACUGGGCGUAAAGCGCACGUAGGCGGAUCGUUAAGUCGGGGGUGAAAUCCUGGAGCUCAACUCCAGAACUGCCUUCGAUACUGGCGAUCUUGAGUCCGGAAGAGGUGAGUGGAACUCCUAGUGUAGAGGUGGAAUUCGUAGAUAUUAGGAAGAACACCAGUGGCGAAAGGCGGCUCACUGGUCCGGUACUGACGCUGAGGUGCGACAGCGUGGGGAGCGAACCGG
rnacentral:rRNA from 1 species